ACAAUGAAGAGUUUGAUCCUGGCUCAGGAUGAACGCUAGCGGCAGGCUUAACACAUGCAAGUCGAGGGGCAGCACGGGUAGCAAUACUUGGUGGCGACCGGCGCAAGGGUGC
rnacentral:rRNA from 1 species